CAGAAUUUCGCGGAUUUUCCUGCCGCCGCAACACGGUCGGGAAUGUCGCGCCGCCAGCAGCGGCUAAUCACGGAUUCACGGCAGCGGCGGAGCCACUACGGCCUAUAUAGAUCCGCCCAUGAUUCACGGGCUUGAUCGUUCCAUUUGUGGUCGGUGCUGGUACACACCACAGAGCAGUCAACACUACAGCACGUAGCUACCGGUUGGUGCCGUUCUGAAACGACGCAUAAAGAUUUCAAGGCAUGCCAAUCUCAGCACAUACUACAGCUGUGUCCAGGAAUCAGCGAGUAAGCAGUAUCAUUGAACAAUGCACGGUGGUAACCAAAAGAAAAAGGUGAAGAACAAGCUGUCGUCCAAAAGGGUACAACACAACAUGACCAUGUACCAAUGUACAAAAUAUAUGAAUCAGCAGAGCGUCCAGCUAGGCUAGAAACAAGCAGUCCGGCCCCUUCUUCACAUCCUAUACCCGCCCCCCCCC